ensembl:lncRNA
GUUUUAUAAACACACAUUGCACAACUGCCCUCUGUAACUCUGCAGAUAAAAGCAAGUUAAGGAAGACAUCUCACAGAAGGUUUUACUACCAAGCAAGAAAACGCUGUAUGGGAUUACGUAUGUCAAGUGAGAGCUGCAUGUCUUUUCUCCAGCUCUGCCAGCAGCUGAGCUGCAAACCGCUUGGGAGGAAGAGGACAAGGGAUUGCCAUUAAAAACACAUCGGAUUGCAAGGAAUCUGGAGAGUUGUCAUGGGGACACAGGACCAACUGCAAUGGAAGUGAUGGAGAACGAAUCUGUUAGCAGAAAAGUUUGUAUUUGUGUCUGCUGCUGUGGAAGGAGAUGCUGCUGGAGUUCUGCUGGACUCCUGCUGCUCUGUGGGGAUGGCAAUAUGGGUUUUCUUGGGAUCAAGAGGCACGGUCUGCGGACAGGUAGAAUCCCCACUCGUGUGUGUGAAGCAGCAUGUGCCGUGACAUUGUGCAGCCACACAACAGCAGAGCUCUGAGUGCCAGCUGCUGGGAGCUGCCAUGGAGCUGCCUGCACCCAGGUUUAUCAUAUGCUCGGCUCAUCCAUCUGUGUCUCAGUCUCCGGUGGACUCAUGAGUUUCAUCAAGAAAACCAUUUUCAAACCAGCAGACCAAAACAGAUCGUUUUCGACUCCCAGCCUCAUCGAGGCUUUGCAGUAGUUUUGCCUCGUGUUUACGAUUUAUGGAUGCAACAGAAACACAGAGCAGGCGGGAGUGGUCCAGAGAUUUCCCCAUUGCAGGGUAUGUGCUUUCAAACGCUGCUCGUUCAGGUACCAGCUCUGCAAUACUUGAAUGCAUGCGAAUAACUUUAUUUGGGUUAAUUCCAUUCAGUCCUUCAGGGUGAGAUGUUAAACACGGUAUGUAACUGCAUUUAAAUUCCAGCUUCUAUCCUGUGAUGACUGCUAGAAUUGGUUCAGGGAAUUAGAAGAGGAAAGAUGAACUGGUGGUUAAAGCUCCAAAUUGGUGUGCAAAGCACUGGGGGAACCUUUGUGCUCCUGCUG